GAUGAACGCUGGCGGCGUGCCUAAUACAUGCAAGUCGAGCGCACGGACGAGAAGCUAGCUUCUUUGAUGUUAGCGGCGGACGGGUGAGUGACACGGGGAUGACUUAGCUAUAAGACUGGGAGAGGUUCGGGAAAACGGAGAUAAAAAGGGAUAAUAUUAUAAAACGAAUGAUUCAAAAGUGAAAGACGGUAAUGCUGAAUUUUAUCAAUAGAUCCGGGUUGUAUUAUCUAUUAGGUAAGAUAAGGGCUUACGAAGGCACUGAUGCAUAGCAGACAUGAGAGGGUGAUCGGCCACACUGGAACUGGAACACGGUCCAGACUCCUACGGGAGGCAGCAGAAGGGAAUCUUCCGCAAGGGCCGAAAGCCUAACGGAGCAACGUCGCGGAAGUGAUGAAGGUCUUCGGAUCGUAAGCUCUGUUUAUUGGGGAGGAACAGAUGUGUAAUUAAAUGUGCACAUCGUGACGGUACCUAAUCAGAAAGCCACGGCUAACUACGUG
rnacentral:rRNA from 1 species